rnacentral:rRNA from 1 species
UACGGGGGGGGCAAGCGUUGUUCGGAAUUACUGGGCGUAAAGGGCUCGUAGGCGGCCAACUAAGUCGGACGUGAAAUCCCCAGGCUCAACCUGGGAACUGCGUCUGAUACUGGAUGGCUUGAAUCCGGGAGAGGGAUGCAGAAUUCCAGGUGUAGCGGUGAAAUGCGUAGAUAUCUGGAGGAACACCGGUGGCGAAGGCGGGUCUCUGGGCAACAACUGACGCUGAGGAGCGAAAGCGUGGGGAGCGAACAGG